rnacentral:rRNA from 1 species
UACGGAGGGUGCAAGCGUUGUUCGGAAUUACUGGGCGUAAAGAGCACGUAGGCGGGCGUGUAAGUCGGAUGUGAAAUCCCCGGGCUUAACCUGGGAAUUGCAUUUGAAACUGCAUGUCUUGAAUGCCUGAGAGGAUGACGGAGUUCCUGGUGUAGAAGUGAAAUUCGUAGAUAUCAGGAGGAACACCGGAGGCGAAGGCGGUUGUCUGGCGGUGCAUUGACGCUGAGGUGCGAAAGCGUGGGGAGCAAACAGG